CGAUGAACCACCACCGAACUGGUUUACCAACUCUCGUCCGAUCUCUUUUAUAACCGGGCCUUUCUACGACAACCCCUACUUAAACACAGGAAGUGAUGCAGCUCACGUAAGAAUACCCUUGAACAAAACGAUUCAUAUUUCCGUGCACAACGUUCCUUGGGAAUGAGGAACUUUAUGUGCAUUUAUGCUUACAAUAGCCGGAUAUCCAGGUUGAUGCUCGAUGACCCGACUUCAUGACUCAAUGACACGUAAAAACACGUUUUGCUAAAACGAAACUAACAAUAAGUGUGCUUACCACAUAUCAUUUACAGGUGUACUUCGGCUAUACAAUAAAUAUUUUCAAUUUAUUUUAAAUCUUUUAAAUAUCAACUUUAUUCAGAAAUAGGCUACAACGAAUUACAUAGUAAGAAAAAUUGCUUGUUACAUUGACAAUUUCCUUUACAUUAUUUUUACAAAACAUAAAGGUCUGGAAUGUGUAUAAGGUGAUAAUAUAGAUUAUAAAAAUUA